UACAGAGGAUGCAAGCGUUAUCCGGAAUGAUUGGGCGUAAAGCGUUCUGUAGGUGGCUUUUAAGUCCGCCGUCAAAUCCCAGGGCUCAACUCUGGACAGGCGGUGGAAACUACCAAGCUGGAGUACGGUAGGGGCAGAGGGAAUUUCCGGUGGAGCGGUGAAAUGCGUAGAGAUCGGAAAGAACACCAACGGCGAAAGCAACUCUGCUGGGCCGACACUGACACUGAGAGACGAAAGCUA
rnacentral:rRNA from 1 species